rnacentral:rRNA from 1 species
CCUACGGGGUGCAGCAGUCGGGAAUAUUGCACAAUGGAGGAAACUCUGACGCAGUGACGCCGCGUGUAUGAAGAAGGUUUUCGGAUUGUAAAAUUUUGUCGAUAGAGAAGAGAAAGGACAGUACCUACGGAGGAAGCUACGGCUAACUACGUGCCAGCAGCCGCGGUAAUACGUAGGGAGCGAGCGUUAUCCGGAAUUACUGGGUGUAAAGGGUGCGUAGACGGGUAAACAAGUUAUUUGUGAAAUACUGAGGCUUAACCGAGGAAAUGCAAAUAAAACUGUUUGUCUUGAGUGCAGGAGAGGUAAGUGGAAUUCCUAGUGUAGCGGUGAAAUGCGUAGAUAUUAGGAAGAACACCAGUGGCGAAGGCGACUUACUGGACUGUAACUGACGUUGAGGCACGAAAGUGUGGGGAGCAAACAGGAUUAGAUACCCCAGUAGUC